GGGCAUGUAGCGCAGUUGGUAGCGCGCUCGCUCAGCAGUUGUGAUUACUUAAGCUGCGAGAAGUCUCCAAUUCAAAUCUGGACUUGUUUA